rnacentral:rRNA from 1 species
UAGGGAAUAUUGCGCAAUGGGGGAAACCCUGACGCAGCGACGCCGCGUGAGUGAUGAAGGACUUCGGUUCGUAAAGCUCUGUCGCAGGGGAAUAAUUUUGAAUGUACCCUGUAAGAAAGGAUCGGCUAACUUCGUGCCAGCAGCCGCGGUAAGACGAGGGAUCCUAGCGUUGUUCGGAAUCAUUGGGCGUAAAGCGGAUGUAGGUGGCUUAGUAAGUCAGAUGUGAAAGCCCAGGGCUUAACCCUGGAAGUGCAUUUGAUACUGCUGAGCUUGAGUGUGGGAGAGGCUAGUGGAAUUCCUGGUGUAGUGGUGAAAUACGUAGAUAUCAGGAGGAACAUCGGUGGCGAAGGCGGCUAGCUGGCCCAACACUGACGCUGAGAUCCGAAAGCGUGGGGAUCAA